rnacentral:rRNA from 1 species
UGGCGGCCUUAGCGCGUGGUCCCACCUGACCCCAUGCCGAACUCAGAAGUGAAACGCCGUAGCGCCGAUGGUAGUGUGGGGUCUCCCCAUGCGAGAGUAGGGAACUGCCAGGCA